rnacentral:rRNA from 1 species
GGACCAUCUCCUAAGGCUAAAUACUCUCUAGUGACCGAUAGUGAACCAGUACCGUGAGGGAAAGGUGAAAAGCACCCCGGAAGGGGAGUGAAAUAGAACCUGAAACCGUGUGCUUACAAGUAGUCAGAGCCCGUUAAUGGGUGAUGGCGUGCCUUUUGUAGAAUGAACCGGCGAGUUACGAUUUGAUGCAAGGUUAAGCAGUAAAUGUGGAGCCGUAGCGAAAGCGAGUCUGAAUAGGGCGUUUAGUAUUUGGUCGUAGACCCGAAACCAGGUGAUCUACCCUUGGUCAGGUUGAAGUUCAGGUAACACUGAAUGGAGGACCGAACCGACUUACGUUGAAAAGUGAGCGGAUGAACUGAGGGUAGCGGAGAAAUUCCAAUCGAACCUGGAGAUAGCUGGUUCUCUCCGAAAUAGCUUUAGGGCUAGCCUCAAGUGAUGAUUAUUGGAGGUAGAGCACUGUUUGGACGAGGGGCCCCUCUCGGGUUACCGAAUUCAGACAAACUCCGAAUGCCAAUUAAUUUAACUUGGGAGUCAGAACAUGGGUGAUAAGGUCCGUGUUCGAAAGGGAAACAGCCCAGACCACCAGCUAAGGUCCCAAAAUAUAUGUUAAGUGGAAAAGGAUGUGGCGUUGCCCAGACAACUAGGAUGUUGGCUUAGAAGCAGCCAUCAUUUAAAGAGUGCGUAAUAGCUCACUAGUCGAGUGACACUGCGCCGAAAAUGUACCGGGGCUAAACAUAUUACCGAAGCUGUGGAUUGUCCUUUGGACAAUGGUAGGAGAGCGUUCUAAGGGCGUUGAAGCAUGAUCGUAAGGACAUGUGGAGCGCUUAGAAGUGAGAAUGCCGGUGUGAGUAGCGAAAGACGGGUGAGAAUCCCGUCCACCGAUUGACUAAGGUUUCCAGAGGAAGGCUCGUCCGCUCUGGGUUAGUCGGGUCCUAAGCUGAGGCCGACAGGCGUAGGCGAUGGAUAACAGGUUGAUAUUCCUGUACCACCUAUAAUCGUUUUAAUCGAUGGGGGGACGCAGUAGGAUAGGCGAAGCGUGCGAUUGGAUUGCACGUCUAAGCAGUAAGGCUGAGUAUUAGGCAAAUCCGGUACUCGUUAAGGCUGAGC